rnacentral:rRNA from 1 species
GACGAACGCUGGCGGCGUGCUUAACACAUGCAAGUCGAACGGAAAGGCCCUGCUUUUGUGGGGUGCUCGAGUGGCGAACGGGUGAGUAACACGUGAGUAACCUGCCCUUGACUUUGGGAUAACUUCAGGAAACUGGGGCUAAUACCGGAUAGGAGCUCCUGCUGCAUGGUGGGGGUUGGAAAGUUUCGGCGGUUGGGGAUGGACUCGCGGCUUAUCAGCUUGUUGGUGGGGUAGUGGCUUACCAAGGCUUUGACGGGUAGCCGGCCUGAGAGGGUGACCGGCCACAUUGGGACUGAGAUACGGCCCAGACUCCUACGGGAGGCAGCAGUGGGGAAUAUUGCACAAUGGGCGGAAGCCUGAUGCAGCAACGCCGCGUGCGGGAUGACGGCCUUCGGGUUGUAAACCGCUUUCGCCUGUGACGAAGCGUGAGUGACAGUAAUGGGUAAAGAAGCACCGGCUAACUAAGUG